ACUGAGGUGAAAAAUGUAAAAUCGAGAUUUGGAAACGUCCUAUAUAUCAUACCAUAUACUUUUAGAAAAUUCUAAUAAUUUACUUUCUUUAUGACUUUUAUCAGGAGUAGAAUAAAAUAUAGUAGAGUCGGGAUUUUGAAACGCCCUAUACAUCGUGGUAAUAUAUUUGUACGAAUAUUCUGUUUUUUUAUCCCAAUUAAAAUAAAAUAUAUCAGAUAGAUAAAAGUCGAUGUACAAUUAUAUACAUACUUUCAUCUCCAUUUUGAAACAUCUUGUACGUACCAAAGAUCGAGCAGCAUCACGUUCGAUUAUCUCAAAGGAGAUUGAAGAGAAAGCCGGAUACUAAAUGCGACGUAAUUAUCAAACACUAGUUUCACGCGAGUUUCAUGAAAUUUGACAAGAAUGUGCGAUGACUUUACUUUUUUACUUUAUGGUUACUUCAAGGUUAUGUAUCCAUUUCUGUCGGCCAUAUUGUAUACAGGGUGUUUAAUUGAAACGCCGAUGAUCUCUCGUGUAAAAAAAAGAGGGAGAGAUGCACGUAAAAUGCGUUUGAUUUUUGGGAAACUACGUUGCUGAGUGUUUCUUGUUGAUUUUUUUGUUCUAUCACUACAAAAUGGAUCAUGCAUAAUUCAAUGAAAUAAUAUAAAGCAAAAAACCAUCUAUGUGUGCAUCUAUCAUUUCCGUAUAAAACGAAGGAAACUUUUGGCACAACCUAAUACUUAUUUGAGAUGUAAUUAAAUCAUUGGAAUUUCUCACCUGGAAGAACUUUUUUAAAAAAUUUUGUUGAAAAAUUAGAUAACUCUCGAAAAUUAUCAGGUGGAGACAUUUUUUGAAAGGAUUAUUCGAAGGACCUAACAAUUUUUUAAAAUCUUUGCUCAAUAAAAUUUGCCACGAUUACUCAGACUUUUAAAAUAAGAACGCAGAUGUUCGUUGUGACGGAAGCAGGGAAGUUUCGCGAUUAAACGACAGGAAGAUUGCGAAUGUUGCAAACAGUUUGCCUCUCAGAUUCCUUUUCUUCUUCUCUUUGAACUUCUUCCGCUACUUUUAUUACUUUAAUCGAACGUUCGGAAAUUAAUCCCUUGUCGAAAUCAAAGCUACAACUAUCAUUCUGUUCAAUGAAUCAAAACUUGCACAAAUUCCUCCAAAAAAAUCCAUAGAAAAUCGAACUUCUCGCUUUAUAAUAUUCCACCCUUUGAAUGUCACAUUUAAUUAAAUCCAAUAACUAUAAUGAAAGAGUAGCGUUCUUUUACGCAAGUUUCAUUUUCUAACUGUACUUUGCAUUUCGUAUUUGUAUGCAUCUUUGCACACUUACACCUGUCAUAAAUGCAUAAAUACUAGUAAUCUACUAAUUAUUAAUACUCGAAUGAUCUAAGAAUGUAACAAUGAGAGAAGGUAUGGAAUCCCAGGAAAAUAUCUACAUGUUACUAAUGCAAUUAAGCUGUAUAAAAUUGUCGAAUGUUUUCAAGACAGACUACGAUUUCCAAAGGAAAUAUUAAAAAAAAAAAAAAAAAGAAAGAAAAGGGAAGAAAAAAGCUAAUUACUAGACUGUGUAUUUUGAUGCAUUUGUGGAAAGUUUGAAAAUGCAGAAACACACAGGGUGCGAAUAAUUAAGAAAAAUGUAGAAAAUAUCCAGGAAAGAAGGAAAAAUCCAAGAAGUAGAGUCUUCAUAUCGUCUUAAGCCGGGUCAAGUGUUCCCUUUCGAUGAUUCCUUUGGUCGAAAGUAAGGCAACAACUGAAGGACUCAUUGAUUUCAAAAUCCAUUUAUACUGGCGUGCAAUGCAGCGGCGUAGCAUCUCGUCGCGUCUAAUUCGAUCACAGCAGCGAGGCUAUUGUUUUCUGUCCGCGCCUCUGCCUGCUGGACAAACCAUUGACACGGUGUUGCCUAAUGGAAAUCGCUAUUCGACACACGUAAUGCUGCUCCGUGGACUCUGCCAACUCAUAUUGUUCAACCAAUAAACAAUAUCGUGCCGCGGGUCAAGGUGGAUCAAAAAAAUUCAUGGGAUCUGUGGUAUGGGUUCGAUGGUGUCGAUAGAUGGAUCGUAGAAUACGACGCUAUAUUGGUUAGGUAAAAGUACAUAUAGAUACUAGGUCAGGUAUAUAUACAGUGGCUAUAAAAGGUACUGGCACGAACCCUUAUUUUCCAACGAAGCGUUUUCUUUUUUCUUUUUUUUUUUUUAUCGGAUUUGCUUUCUAUUUUCAUACAUAGUAGUGUAAUGUAUAUACCCGUAUGUAGUAAAUGUAUAUACUUGAACCUAAUUAAUCAGAAUAAAUACUGCCGCUUAAAAUUUUGCAGCAACCUUUGCUCUUUAGACGAAACGAACUUCUACAUAUAUUUUUCCGAGAAAUAAGAAUAUUAUAAUUUUCAGAGGAGCAUCUGAAAAUAAUCCACGUUCAUCGCAUACGUAUGUAGGUGUGAAUUUGAAUUUAAUAUUGAUCAGUAUGAUUUGGUAGUACUGAAAGAUCGAUAACGAAACACGAUUCCAUGAUGUUUAGGUGGAUAUAAUAGGUGGUUGGUAGAAGUUGCACAUGAAUGUUAUUGGCAUUAAUUAGUCCUCUGGCGUUCAGGCGAAGAUCUCAGUUUAGUAUUGAUCGGUUUGAUUUGGUAGUAUUCGAAAGCGGAUAGUAAAACAUGAUUCUAUGGUUGUUCAGGUAGGUACACAUGUAGAUGAGUACUAGGUAACAUGUAGAUGUAGAUAAGUACUAGGUAAUAAUAGAUCUUUGGUAGAAGUACAUGCUAUAUAUAUAUAUAUAAUGUGUAUACUGUUUAGAAAUAAUUUGUUCCAUGACGUAUAGAUGUGGAUUUGAUCUUCGUUUGAUGGAUUGUAUCGAGCUUUGAUUUGGGUACUUAAUAUGUAUAUAUUAUGUAGAUUAUAGGUACGUAUGUGUUACGUUAGUUGAUACGUAUGAGUCAACGUCUUAACAACGCUUUACCAAAAAAUCGGACGUGAAUCAACUUCAUUGUAUUCGGAAUUAUUGAGUCAUCCUACGGAUUCUUGCGGUUUUGCAUCCUUUUUAGCUUACAAACGUACACUGCCCUCUUGAAAAUUUGAUACUUUGAUGUACUUACGUUAGUUGCACUCGAAAAUAGUAUCUUCAUAAAUAUUAUCAAGAAAAUGGGAUCUAAAAGGGAGAUUUGUUUUAAUACUUGCAUCAAAUAUAUUAUAACGAGUACUUUAUUUUGUA